GGAGUUGUGGCUCAAUGGUAGAGCUCUCGCCUAGCAUGUGUGAGACCCUGAGCUCGAUCCUCAGUACCA
rnacentral:tRNA from 1 species